CCCGACGAGAUUUCCUCCACCCUCUCCCUCUCUCGUCGGCUAGGGUUCCGUCCUCCGCUGCCGCUCCCUUGCCUCGCCGCGCCGCGCCAUCGUUGACCUCAAAAUCGGGAUACCCGCACCACGCCAUGGAAGCCCCAUCACCUAAAGACCGAGCUCCGCAUUUUCGUGCCCGACUCCGCAUCUUCUCCGCCGCCGCUCUGCGCCCUCUCUCUCGUGCUCGUCGCGAACCGCCGCUGCUUUUCCCUCCCUCUAUCCCUGCCCGCCACCUCUCCCCUCUCAUUCCAUGCCCCUGCAGAUCAUUGUCUUGUCUCGUCGCCCUUCUUCAUCGUCGACAGCGUCGCCACAAAGGAGAAGGGGGUCGGGAUGAGGAAAAGAGGGGUAGCCACCGACGACACGUUGUUCAGUUCGUCCCACAACUGCAGGCGAAGCAAGGGCAAUGCUCUUCGUCCGCCGUUGUGACGGACCUCGGGUGAGCCUCGAGUUCGACUUCCGACGACACCCGCCCCAAAGUAUCUUCCCCGGUAAGAUCUGUAGGUACCUACCGCCAUACAUUCUUAUCCGCAACGCCGUAUCCCUCUGCCAUUUGGGGGGGAUUGAUUGCCUCCGAGGGCAACAGAAGGAGUUCUUCACAUAUCACCAGCCUCUUCUUCAUUGAUCGAUGCUAGGGGUGGGGUGUACCAGAAUAUUUGUUGCAACCAAAGUCCAGAAGGAGGAUGGACAUGCUCGUUACACAAGUGUCAACAGUAGAUGCGCCUGCACUAUAGCAAAUAGGGCAACUGCUCUAAUCUUCCUAGGUAUCUGCAUCUCUACGUUUUCUUAUCCAAAUCUGACUGCUUAAGAAUUCCUCAAUAAUACAGAGUUCUGCCCGAGCUCACUUUUUUCUCUACACUUUUCAAAAUUUUAUGUAGCAUAUACCAAGGUAAAGGUUUCGUUUGCACUAUAGAAAUGCUAUUGUUUGCUGCUUCGGAUACAACAAAUUCUAGAAUAAUUAUUAGUACAUAUAUCACAGUCUGGAAUGAUUUUGUUUAGUGGUAUAAUGUGGUGUUCUAAUUUAUCAUGUGUCAUUGAACUUAGUUGCACCAUUUCCAUUUUGGUGCGGCUUAUACAACAUGUGUACUAAGAGAUGGCACCUUUUUUGUCCUCAUUUUGUCUUUGCGUUUGCUAAACCAGCUAUGAUUUGGUUUCUUACGUCAGAUGAACAUGUUCGCUUUUCAUUUACAAGUCAUUCGAACUAUCAAGGUCUAAUCUGAACUGGUGAGAAAGAAAGUAGUAACUGCUUAUAAAAUGUGGUUUUUAUUGUUGGUUUGGAAUCCUAUUCUUAUGAAAAGUGUUUAUUUGUUCAGGUUUAAUAGUAUUGCUGCUGGAGUGGUUUUGUUUCUUUGGAUUUCAGCAUCUACUGAUAUUGGUAAGUACCUUGCACUUGUUCUUGUUUGAUUAAUUAGGUAAUCCUCUGGAUUUCCGGUGCCAUGUUUUUGUGUACUAGGUGCAUUUCUUUGCUUGGUUAUAGUGGUGUCUCAAACUUUCUGCUUAAAUAUAGUAUUUCUUUUCUUGAUGCCUUCACUGGUUGUGAAUUUGUGAGCUUCCCUCAAUAGGGUGAAUAAUGAAUUAAUACUUGUGACCUUGUGAUGUAGUGCUCAACAAGAUGUUUAGAUACAGUAGACUAGCAGAGUAUAUAAUAUAUACAUCAAUGUAUGGCUAAGUCUGACCAAGGUUAUUGUGACAUCUGAAUCCCGUGCCAUAGGUCAUAGGUGGUUGUUACCGGUGGAAAAUAGGAUGACCUUUAUUCUUUUGGUAUACUGGAAGUAACAGCUUGAUUAGGGUCACUGUUACAAGUGCAUUUGGUGGCUGGGGAAAGGAUCAGAAAUCUUGUUAGCAUGAAAAAUGGCCACCUCAGAUUCAGAGAUGUCUGUCAAGAAAUUAGCUCUCUCUCUCUCGUCGUCGGCCCGUUGGAGGAGAACGGGAUGGGGAACCACGCCGGGAUGCAGAGAAGCGGGAGCUGGCGGAGGCGCUUGUUGAACAGGAGGGUGGCCACGAACACCCAUGUCAGCCUGCUUUGCGCAGUCAGAAGGAGUUGCCAACGAGGACCAACGUGCCUCUCAAGUGUGAAAGAGCGCCAACACCAUCUGCCUAGUCUAUGCUACCGAUGCCCUUCCGAGCAACUGGAGGAUUAAACAUGUAUUUCCAUGGUUUUCCUGAUCGCUUAUAAUUGUGACAACGCAGUAUGGCUCCAGUUCAAAGUAUAUCAUCCUGAUAUGUUUAGAUUAUUGUCAGAUGUAGUAGAAAAUUUAAAUGAUGGAUAAAUAAGAGGUUCAGUUUCUUCUUUUCCAAUUGCAGUUUUGCAUGCUGAUUAUCAGGCCGUGUAGAUAUAGUGGUGGGAGGACUACUCCCAUAUAUGGGUAUUAGACUUUUUUCUGGUUAGUAUUUUCAGUUGCUCCAACAAAACUAUGCAAGUUUCUUUGGUUGGUGUUAAAUGGUUGUGCUAAUGUAGUAUAUGUGUAUUACAUUUUAACUUAAUUCUACCUGGAGUUUUGUAUACAUUUGUUGUACGCUUGCAACUUAGUUGCAUCCUUUGGGGCAAUGAGUCACGCACACACUGAUUGUCACCGCUGCGCCUGUCCUCCCGCUGAAUGUGUCCUCCCUGUCGAUGAUGCAGUCGCACAGGUCUAGCGCCGCCAGACGCCGAUAACAGGCUUACAGUUUACCGUCGUUCUUGA